CAGCUCCAUGUCAGUUUUACACCACAUCCUCGGCUCCAAAGCAACGGCUGGGCCCAGUAGAGACCCACAGCCAGAUUGACUUGGCAAAUCUUGCCUCCUGUUGGGCUGCAGGAGCUGCAAAGCCUCUCCUCAGGAGGCUUUGUUUACCCUCAGAGCGAUCUGAGGGGGCAGUCUGCUUUGGGGGGGAUAUCCAUGCCAAAUCCGGGUUCCCUGCUCACGGGAAGCUCUGUGCUCUGCCUCAUGGGGACUUGCCAAUGGGAGGUGUUUAUAGACCCUUCUAGAAGUGGCUUAAGUUCCUGAGAUCUAGCAUGAUGAGGGGGGUUACUAAUGUCUUAACCCCAAACCUUUCAAAAGAACUGUUUGGGUUGGGGGCCAAGGAAACUAAGCCUCAGAUGUCCCAGAGAAAUUUUCUAAUUUAAUGGGAAGUAAAUUGAAGCUUACAAAAAGGCACAAACCAACACAAGACAUAAUUUAAAUAAAACAUCAAUCUUGGGUGGCACCUGUGGUGAGUAGGGCGCUGGCCCAAUAUACAGAGGUGGGUGGGUUCGAACCACACCCUGGGCAAACUGCAACAACAACAAAAAAAUAGCCAGGCGUUGUGGCGGGUGCCUGUAGUUCCAGCUACAGGGAGGCUGAGGCAAGAGAAUCACCUAAGCUCAAGAGCUGCAGGUUGCUGUGAGCUGUGGCGCCACGGCACUCUACCAAGGGCAACCAAGUGAGACUCUGUCUCUAAAAAAAUAAAAAAUCAAUCCUUUUCUCUUCAGAGGAAACCAGUUGACUUCCCAUUUGUAGACAGUUCCUCGCAAGAAUGGGCCUGGGAAUUCUUCAGCGUCUUUGCUAUGUGUAGAACUAUGCUGAGCUCUCUAAAGAGGGUACAAAAGAAAACAAAACCAUGGGGUAGUGACUGCAGAGAAGAGAAGGAACAGAUGGAGAAGAAACCUGGGUGCUCAUCCCACAAAUGAAAUGACAUGAGCAAAAGGCACCUCAUGCUGACAAGUGCAGGCAGUUCAGGAGCCCUGCAGACUCGCAGGUGAGCCAGUCUGGGGUGGGAGAAAGAGUAUAGACUUUGGAGGCCCGGCAUGGUGGCUCCCACCUGAAAUCCUGGCACUUUGGGAGACUGAGGCAGGAGGAUCACUUGAAGUCAGGAGUUUGAGACCAAACUGAGCAAGAGUGAGAUCUGACUAUUGAAAAUAGAAAAAUUAGCCAGGCAUGUGGCACACAUGAGGCUGGGAGGCAGGAUGCUCUCUUGAGCCCAGGAGUUUCCGGUUGCAGUGAUGACACCACUACACUCUAGCCAGGUGAAAGAGCAAGACCCUCAGGGGGAAAAAAACAAAGUCUUUGGAGCCUGCAAGUCCAUUUUUGAAUCUUGGCUCUGCUAUUUCUAAGCUAUGAAACAUUAGGCAAAGUUUCUGACCUCUCUGAGCUCCGCCUAUGGACAACUUGGAGGGAGGCUGAAAUUACAGUAGUGCAGUACCUGGUCCUGGCAUAGUGUAGGAAUUGCAGGUGUGUGAGCUCCAUCUCCCAGGGAUGCCAGCUUAGACCACAUGAGACCUUUGUCCAUGCCCCUCCUAGAAUGUGGCCUACCCAGCCAUUAUUUGUCUGAGAUAAUUUGCUGGAGAUGUGUGAGAGGAAGAAGGGAGGCAGCAGCAGUCAGGUACCUCCUCCUACGUUCAUAACAUGCAGACUCCACUUACACACAAAGGGGUGGGCCUGGGUUCCCGGGGAGAAAUUGUGAAAUUGAGCCUCUUCAGUUCUGUCUGGUCUAAAUCUAGCAGUUCCCUGGUUACCCACCCCCGGGCUUUGUGAUUGGCUGGCUGUGGUGAGUGUGGUGCAGGCAUCGGAGCAUGUGUGAGCUGCUGAAGGAGCUGCAGCAUCCCUUAGUCUCAGGCCCCCGGGAGGCGGAGGGGGAGGGGAAAGAGCAAGGGCUGAGCCGUGCAGGGAAGAGGAGCCAUUUCUCUUCACUGAUUACGGCGACCCCUGUGCUCACAGCUCACAUUUUUCCAGAAUCUAGGGGCCUCAUCAGCCUAGGACUCCACAAUGCUGGAUAUUUUCAUCCUAAUGUUCUUUGCCAUUAUAGGCCUGGUCAUUCUGUCCUACAUUAUCUAUCUGCUCUAGUGGCCUGGAGCUGCAGCGGGGAACCCACAGAACAACUCAGAGGGGAAGGAUGAAGCUGAAAGGCCGAGCAUCCUGCUUGCUGACGCACCGGUGGAUUUUUGCUUCUGGUCAUGAUUUCGGCUCCUGGUCACCAGUCCAACAAAGACCUCUUAUCAACAGCAGCAGUCCCACUGCCCAAUAGACCCCUUCCAGAGCCUUCCCGACAUGGUUAACCCCUGGCGAGCAAGGGGCUCUUUGAGCUCAGAGGCAGAGGCACUUGACUGGACAUCAGGAAUUCGUGGACGUGAUUGGCAGAUGCUGCAUGUUUUUGAGCUGUAGAUAGAGGGUGUUGAGACACACAAAGUUGAAAUGUAGACUCAUUAAAGUUAUCAUGGAUAACGGCUCAAAAAUUCAUUUUGGUAGCCUUUCCUUAGGUCUAAAUGCAACUGCAUAUUGCACUGACUUAUGUUCUUUCCUUUCCCUCUCACAUGCAAGAAUUCCCUUGUUAAGUUCAAGACCAAGUUCAAGUUGUCUUAUCUUCAUGUAUGAAGUAGUCACUUUAUUAUUGUCUUUACAGAUUGCACAAUCUGAGGUUGUGUGGUUUCUCUUGUCUCACUCCCUGGCCAGAAGGAACUUGUCUUUUUU